UCAGUUUAUUGGUUCAGCCACAAACUCCAAAUCUCAAAUCUAAUCCUAAAAACAAAAUAAACUUCAGUCCUCUCUCUUCUCUUUCACGGCAAAAUCAUGAUCUAUUUGUGCUUUACCAUUCAUUGUUCUCUCACUGGUACACUCCAUCGUUCUUCCCAUUUCAUGGUUUUGUUCCGUUGAGCCUCCUCUAAUCUAUUGCGCCGCCACCUGAAGCUCAACGAAAGAAGUUGGAAGAAAUUUAUCUCUGCGUGAUUGUGAAGUUGCAUGGGGUUCCUGAACAAUGGUUUUUACACGUUUAUUUACCGUUGUUAUAUGUUAUCUUUGAAGUAUUUGGUUAAAGCAUUUUAUCUCUUUCUUCUAUAUUUUAUGCUUUGGUUGUGUAUUUCACUAUUUUCAGACUUAGAGGAAUAAAUCGAGACAAAUCAGUGCAAAAAAAAAAUACAAAACGCGGAGUUGCGAAGGAAUUCUGAGAUCUGGAAAUUUUUAGCAUGUUUUUCAUCAUGACAUGCAUGUACUAUUUUGAUCAUAACUAGAGCUUCGUUACUCGGAAUGACGUGGGACUGGCGGCAAAAUUUCGCUAACGAAAAGGGCUACAACUUUGAUGAAGACAUCAAAGCCAAAUUCUAAAGUUAGGGGCUGACACGGGCCAUGUCAAGUGACACGGGUCGUGUUAGGAGACCUGGAACAAAAAAUCAGAUUCUAAGAUGACAGAAGUCUGACACGGGUGCCCGUGUUGGCUGACACGGCCCGUGUCAGCAUGUGAUGCUGAUUUCAUGAUUUUUUAUAUUUUGUCCAUGGGUUAAGUUGUGGGGGCGUUUUGGGUACUUCCAACCAACCUAAGUGAGUCUAUACUAUUUAGAUGAAUUUUCACGAAUGAAAGAAUUUUUUGGCAAGCGAAGAAUAUCACCAGAGAAGAUUGGAGAAGACAAGGGUUUCAACGAGAAGGAGAUUUUCAUGAACGGAAGCGAUUGAAGAUCAAUUUGAUCUCCAACACUUGUAAUGUCUAUAAUUUCAUCCCAAUUUCAGUAAUAUAUUUGUCUUUCAUGUUCAAUUUAACUGUACAAUGUUUCUAAAGCUUUCCUCGUCGGACCAAUAGGAUUGAUGUAUGACUAGCAAUUAGGCUGGACCGCCAUUGUUAGGGUUUUUGUACAAUUAGACUAUUGUAGAUAUUGCCUAGGAAUAGGGAUACCCUAUAGUAACUGAAAUAUUCUUGAUAA